rnacentral:rRNA from 1 species
UACGUAGGGCGCAAGCGUUAUCCGGAAUUAUUGGGCGUAAAGAGCUCGUAGGCGGUUUGUCGCGUCUGCCGUGAAAGUCCGGGGCUCAACUCCGGAUCUGCGGUGGGUACGGGCAGACUAGAGUGAUGUAGGGGAGACUGGAAUUCCUGGUGUAGCGGUGAAAUGCGUAGAUAUCGAGAGGAACACCAGAGGUGAAGACGGGUUGCUGGGCUGACACUGACGCUGAGGCGCGAAAGCGUGGGGAGCAAACAGG